rnacentral:ncRNA from 1 species
AAGUGAAAAAGGCAAACUCGCCUAAAUGCGAAAUCUUUUGGCGGGGGCGCAAAGCUACGGAACCUUAAAGGUUUGUCUAGCUACCACUUCAAUGUUAGAUUACUAUUUGUAAUUUAUAGUGGUCUAGGGUUGGCCGAGUUGCCAAA